GUUCCAGAGACCAAAUUGGGUUUUUACAAGAGGGGAUAAAAAAAGGAGAGCAACUCGUUGCUCUCGAUUUUUUGAACUUCCAUCCUGGACCUCAG
rnacentral:rRNA from 1 species